UACGGGGGAGCAAGCGUUGUUCGGAUUUACUGGGCGUAAAGGGCGCGUAGGCGGUCAGCACAAGUCAGUUGUGAAAUCUCCGGGCUUAACUCGGAAAGGUCAACUGAUACUGUGCGACUAGAGUGCAGAAGGGCAACUGGAAUUCUCGGUGUAGCGGUGAAAUGCGUAGAUAUCGAGAGGAACACCUGCGGCGAAGGCGGGUUGCUGGGCUGACACUGACGCUGAUGCGCGAAAGCCAGGGAGCGAACGGG
rnacentral:rRNA from 1 species